rnacentral:rRNA from 1 species
GAUGACGUCAAGUCCUCAUGGCCCUUACGGGUUGGGCUACACACGUGCUACAAUGGUAGUGACAAUGGGUUAAUCCCAAAAAGCUAUCUCAGUUCGGAUUGGGGUCUGCAACUCGACCCCAUGAAGUCGGAAUCGCUAGUAAUCGCGUAACAGCAUGACGCGGUGAAUACGUUCCCGGGCCUUGUACACACCGCCCGUCACACCAUGGGAGUUGGAUUCACCCGAAGGCGUUUCGCUAACCCGCAAGGGAGGCAGGCGAC